AUAGGAGCCGUGGCUGUCAGUCAUCCUCUCCACUCUUACAAUCUCCUUAGGAAGCAGGGAAUGUCCAGAACCUUGGAGCUCAAAGCGCUGCUAUGGAGCACAAAAAGAGAAACUCUACAGACCAAGCUCACCAGCUACUAAAUAUGUGGUCCUGUGGGGCGCUUUUCCUGUGGAUAGCUACUCAAAGCAUGGCUACUCUCCCAAGGGGUCAACAAUGGGAGCCUAUCCAAUGAGUAUCAGCAGGCAAUCCAGGUGGCUCUCUUCUCACAACAGAGCCUUCAGAUACACAGCCUUAUGAGAAGUCAACCCUCUGGGAAAAUACCACAUGUAUCUAUUUGACUCACUCUGCAAUCUCUAGAUCCCAGAAUCACACCUGGGAUGUAGUCAGGGGUCAGUCAAUAAAAGUUGGUUAAAUAGAACCCAAAUGGGGGCACUGGAGAGAUGGCUCAGCGGUUAAGAGCACUGACUGUUGUUCUUCCAGAGGUCCUGAGUUCAAUUCCCAGCAAACACAUGGAGCCUCACAACCAUCUGUAAUGAGAUCCGAUGCCCAUUUCUGGUGUGUCUGAAGACAAUGACAAUGUACUCACAUACAUCAAAUAAAUAAAUAAAUCCUU
rnacentral:lncRNA from 1 species